rnacentral:rRNA from 1 species
UACAGAGGGUGCGAGCGUUAAUCGGAAUUACUGGGCGUAAAGGGCGCGUAGGCGGCCCGUCAAGUCCCGUGUGAAAGCCCCCGGCUCAACCGGGGAACUGCACGGGAAACUAGCAGGCUUGAGUUCGGGAGAGGGAAGCGGAAUUUCGGGUGUAGCGGUGAAAUGCGCAGAUAUCAGGAGGAACACCGAUUGCGAAGGCAGCUCGCUGGGACGUCACUGACGCUGAGACGCGAAAGCGUGGGGAGCAAACAGG